rnacentral:rRNA from 1 species
UACGUAGGGCGCAAGCGUUGUCCGGAUUUAUUGGGCGUAAAGAGCUCGUAGGCGGUCUGUCACGUCGGCUGUGAAAACCCGAGGCUCAACCUCGGGCCUGCAGUCGAUACGGGCAGACUAGAGUGCGGUAGGGGAGACUGGAAUUCCUGGUGUAGCGGUGAAAUGCGCAGAUAUCAGGAGGAACACCGGUGGCGAAGGCGGGUCUCUGGGCCGUAACUGACGCUGAGGAGCGAAAGCGUGGGGAGCGAACAGG